ensembl:snRNA U1 U1 spliceosomal RNA
AUACUUAGCUGGCAGGGGAUAAGCCAUGAUCACAAAGGUGUUUAGCCCAGGGCAAGGCUUAUCCAUUGCAUGUCAGAUGUGCUGACUCCUGAGAUUUCCCCAAAGCUGGAAAACUUGAGUGCAUAAUUGUGGUAGUGGGGAACUGUGUUGACACUCUCCCCUG